ensembl:lncRNA
CUUCUGUAUUUUUUUGGAUUGUUUUUGAUGAUUAAAUUAUCAGAAUAAAUUACAAAAGUUAAAAAUAUUAACAGAAAUCAACGGAAAUAAUAAACAGAUCAAGUUCUUUCUUUUUUUUUCGUAACACUGCCGGCAGGAAGGCAGAGAGAACAGGUUUUUAUGUUCUAUUCAAUUUUAAUUAUACAGCGCUAAAUCACAACAACAGUGGCAGUCUCAUGGCACUUUAUAAUGUAAGGUAGACCCUACAAUAAUACAUACAGAGAAAAAUCCAACAAUCCUAUGACCCCCUAUAAGCAAGCACUUUGGCGACAGUGGGAAGGAAAAAAAAAAAACAGGCUCAGGGAGGGGCGGGGCCAUCUGCUGCGACUGGUUGGAGAAGGGUCUGGCUGCAGCCACUGGGGAGCGCCAUAUUGGGACCUCCACACUAACCGGAAACACGUGACCUCCACAGUAGCCGGAAACACGUGACCUCCACAGUAACCGGAAACACGUGACCUCCACAAUCGGCAGAAAUACGUUCCUGCGUGCAUCAUCGACUGUGGAAACCUUGCAAGUGGAUCGUAAAGAUGCACAUAUCAAUUUGGAAUUCUGCCUCCAAGCCAGAAUUGCAGGAAUGCACCACGUGUUGCCGAAGACUCUUUCACUGCCCUCUGUGCCCCACUUUCAGCCCUACUGUCAGGGCAAAGAUUGAGGAGCAAAUAAAUGGACACAUUAAAAAUGCUUUGCCUUUCAAAGACAAAAUGAUAUGCUGGUGCACUUUCACUGCCCUGUCUGUAACAUGACAAUCAUACAGCGUGGGGAUAUGGCAAGGCAAAUAUUGUCAUGUCAGCGUUUAGGACUGCUCCCCACUGCACUCUCCGUGGAGCCACAUCUCCCUCUCGAUGUCUUGUCUCCAGCAUCUAAACCAUUUUCUGAAUCUUUGGUAGAACAUUCAUGUGCUCUACCCUCUGUGCUCUACCCUCUGUGCUCUACCCUCUGUGCUCUACCCUCUGUGCUCUACCCUCUGUGCUAAAUGAAACUGUGGCUUGUGGAAAGUCUAUGGAAAUGAAAUGCCCUCACUGUGGUCUUAGUCUUCUUACAAAAAAAAAAAACAAGGCUCACAUGAUGAGGAGGCAUUCAAACAGAUCAAUAGAUGUUUGCCUGGCCUGUCAUCUGCAGUGUUUUUGUGUAGAGGGACUUCUUCCUCUUUGUUUUUCAGUUUGCAGAGGACAUGGAGCUCUUUUUAAAAGCAUGUGCUGACGAGCAGGGACUAUGGGUCAAUGCGAUGUUUGACAUUUAAUGGACAGAAGAAGGCACUAGCUGUUUGUUUGUGUUUUUUAUGUGUUGUUUGUUUUUCAGUGUACAGAAUUCCAGUUAAGCUUAUUAUAAAAUGUUGUUCACUUGUUUCCAUGUCCAUACUAAUAGUAAAAAAUUUAAGUGUAAAUGUAACAGCAUGGUUUAUACUUGUAACUUCAAAGUAAAAAGCUUAUUGUUGAUAUUAACAUUAAUGUAUUACCCUGUAAUUAAUAAUAUUUUUAUACAUUUUACGCAUUAACACUCUGGGCUCUAUCCUGUCCAUUUGUGGCCACUUCACUUCUUCUUUUUUGACGACUACACUGCAGUGGACCAAAAGAAUGACACAGGUUUGAUCUUAAGGAUCUAAUAGUUGUGUGUGUUUGUGCAUGACAUUGCAACGCAAAUAUGUAUUUGCAAGAUAGACUGGGAAUAAAUUAUGACCCAUCAAAUAUUACACAGGCUGCAGUGAAUUUUUGUUGAUACAGGUUAUUGACCUUUGUGUUUCCCAGUCAAACUUAGCUUUGACACACAUGCUAACACUUUUACUCUUGUGCAUUUCAUAACAAGACACCAUAGCCAAAAUAUUAACUCUAUCAAAAAAAUUCAAAGCUGCAGCUGCAGCACACACAGCAACAAACACUGUUAGUAAAUGUAUCCUGGGGUUUAUGCAGAUGCAAAAAGUGCUACUGCUGUAAGUAAGCCUAACAGCUUCCAGAUCACUUAUCUUUCUGGAAAGAUGGUAAGAAAGGCAUCACUGCUCAUCUCUACAAUCUCCCAGAUCUUGGAAUACAAUGCCUUUGUCCCAUGAAAAUCACUUCACAGUACUAAGAGUCCACUAAAACCUACAAAUGAAGAGUGAUCCUGGAAGAAAUGGGGUGUACACUAGUGACCUCAACAAUUGCAAGACAGCCUUGUCCCCGAUGCAAAUAUAUGAAAAAAUAAAAUACGAAGAUUUAUGAAACCAUUAGGACUUUAUCACUGUUUUAUCUGAAAAGUUACUGGUAAUAUAUAACCUAACUGGCAUUUAAAGUGUAAAAAACAGAAUGUAGAUAAAAUUUUGGUUUUGCUGAAAAGAACUGGAGCCAACUUUAUUUUUUACAAUUAUUGUAGCUGUUUUAAGACUGUAAAACCCCUCACUACAUGCUUUACACACUUUCCUCAGACAGGCACGAACAUUUUCACACUUUUUUCUUUUGUUUAAACACUCUUAAAGUUCAAACCUUCGUAGAAACACAAGUCCAUUAUAAAAUCAAACCGCGCAAAACGUUUGUUUCGUCGGCAUUGUUGUGUUUGUUGGGGAGAAAACUUACAAACAUACAGUAAAGCACUUCAGAGUUACAUUGCUAGCGAUCGAAGAUUUAUAUAAAUUCGACAAACUAAACUCAUUAUGUACUGUACAGCAGCGGUCCCCAACCUUUUUUGCACCCCGGACCAGUUUAAUGUCAGAAAAUAUUUUCACGGACCAGCCUUUAAGGUGUCGCGGAUAAAUACAACAAAAUAAAAUGAUACAAAGACAAAAACGGUGGUAUUUUGUAAAUAUAAUAAUAAACGCGAAUUCACUGUAUGAUUGUGUAACUUUAUUAGCAGGGUCCUCCUGAAAUGCACCAACAACAUUGAGAAUAACAUCCUCCUCUCUGCUUCUUAAUGCUCUCUGGUCGCUAUGGUAACGCGUAAAUAGUUCUUUCAAAAUAAGACACACGACUACAACACGGGAAAAGACCCAGGGAACCCGACUUAACGAUUAAAAACCCUGAAAAUCAUACACUUCACACCCGAACCUCAACUCUCGCGGCCCGAUACCAAACGGGCCCGGGUGUUGGGGACCGCUGCUGUGCAGAAGACACGGCACUAGAUUGAUUGACAAUGGUCUACAGCAAUCAGAACGCACAAAACAAUGUGCUGUUAAGAAGAAAAAAAAAUCAGCGAAACAGCGAGUCCGCGAAAGGUGCUGAUAAAUAAAUUCUAAGUGUUUUUUUUAACAAUCUGGGUUAAAAACACUUAGAAUCAAAUUUAUUUAUCAGCAGCAUCAAUAGUAACAAAAAUACAAUUUAGUUUUCGCUGUCAAAGUCGAUUUAACUGAAGUUACGUGCUUCCGGUUACUGUGGAGGUCACGUGUUUCCGGUUACUGUGGAGGUCGCAAUAUGGCGCUCCCCAGUGGCUGCAGCCAGGUGCUCUUGACUGGUUGGGGUGAGAGAAAAAAGACAGGAUUGAAGACUGUGGAAGAGGCUGUGGAAGAGAGACAGAGAUUAAUAACAAGUAUGAUUCAAUACAGAGAGCUCUAUUAACCAGGGCGGUUGCCCGGGGAGGCAUCGUGGUGGGGCCAGCAUCACGGGCAUCGGCAAAAAAAAUAAAUAAAUAAAAAUUACUCGUACUCAUGCUGCCCCGACAUCAUGCCAGCGCAUAUUGGGAAUGGCAUAGGCACCGAUCGGUUUUCUAUCGCCAAUUUGGGAGUAAGGGGGGGUAUGGGCUCAAAAUGUGGUCAUAAAUAUUUUGUACUUGUAAAUCAGGAUUUGUAUGUGUAAAAAGAAUUUGUGCGUGCGUAAAAAAGAUUUGUAUGUGUAAAAAAGAUUUGCGUGUGCGUAAAAAAGAUUUGUAUGUGUAAAAAAGAUUUGUGUGUGGACUUAGCCAAAAAAAACCCUGCAAGUUACAAGUACGAAUUUUGACCCUAUUUUUCUUCCUGUCAUCUGAUUGGUCAAUGUCAUGUCAAUCACAAAUGUAACAAUCCAAUCAGAGAACAGAUGGGUUUGGCUGUCGGAGGGGCACUUUUUUGAACUGCAGGUCCUUGAAGGGAGUAAAUGCCCUUUCACAUGCCAACCCAGCGAAUACAGCGUAUUUAAAAUACAAAAUAUGAACAUUUCGUUACAGUUACCGUUUAAAAAGGUGGUAUUUAGAAUACAGUUACUUUGUUGAAAUAAAUGGAUUACAUGGCUGUAUUUUCCUGUUUCAUAUUGUGGCAGGUCAGGACUGUUUGUGUUUUGUUCGACAGCUAUGUUCUGUUGUUCCAGGCGGCAGCGUUACGGUUGCAGUGGUUAAAGGGCGACGCUCUCUCUCUCUCUCUCUGCGACUGUGUGUUUCCUGGGUGAGAGCGCCUUUUUGUUGUUGUUGUUGUGCUAAGCUAAUAGGCAGAAUGCUACAGGCAUAGUCCUAAAGAAUGUAUCCAUAUGGGCAGUGUAGUCCGUGCUGCAGGGAGAAUGGACUGCCAUACACGUUAUGUAUCUGUGAGUGCAAAGAGGGAGAAAAAGGAGAGUGGAAAAGUAGGAGUUGUCAUAGAGCAAAAACGGGAGCUGGAAGCAUGUAAAUAUAAUAAUAAUCACUGCAGCCAAGAAGAGUGCCUGACGAGCCCAGUUGUAAGUAAGCUAUUAAGACUCGACAGUAUUUGUGUUUUUCUCCAAAACAAAAAGUUCCGUUGGAGCAGCUUUUCAAAGCCUCUCUCUGUCUCUCGCAAGCACAGUUGUCUGGGUCAACUUUGCUUGCGAGAGACCCAGGGGUUCUGUGUCAGCUACGAGCCCAACACGGAACCGACGUAUUAGCCAGAGGUCCCUUUAGGUUCGGAGCUGCGGACCUUCAGUAAUAGUAAUAAAUCACACAGCAAUAGUGCAUUCACGUACUGGUGAAAACCAUGAUAAUAAUAAUAUAUAUAAUAAUAUUAAGUAAUCCAAAGUAUUCAGAAUAUGUUACUGUCAUUGAGUAACAUAACAGAAUACGUUACAAAAUACAUUUUGGGGCAUGUAUUCUGUAAUCUGUAGUGGAAUACAUUUUAAAAGUAACCUUCCCAACACUGCACAUAGUGAGUGAGGAGUGUGAGUGAAGAAGAAAUACUCAAUGCGUCAUGGGAAUCCCCCAGCAGCCUACACCUAUUGCAGCAUAACUAAGUAACUAAGCAUCACUAUGAGACAGGAUAUUUCUAAUUUUA